CCUGCCCCUUUUUGGACGCCUCCACCCCCACCCCUGCUGGCCUUGAGCCCCGUUUGAACUUGGACCGUCGGACUGCACCACUAGGGGAGGAAAAGAAAACUCUAUGGAAAGACCACAAAGUCACCAUGGAUUGGACCCGACUCCACGGCAACUCAAAAAAAAAAGGAAAUCUGGGUGGGAAUUAAACGACUAAAUAAUAA